GCAAGUCGAGCGGAAACGAUAAAGAGCUUGCUCUUUAGGCGUCGAGCGGCGGACGGGUGAGUAAUGCUUGGGAAUAUGCCUUAUGGUGGGGGACAACAGUUGGAAACGACUGCUAAUACCGCAUAAUGUCUACGGACCAAAGGGGGGGAUCUUCGGACCUCUCGCUCAUUGAUUAGCCCAAGUGAGAUUAGCUAGUUGGUGAGGUAAUGGCUCACCAAGGCAACGAUCCCUAGCUGGUUUGAGAGGAUGAUU
rnacentral:rRNA from 1 species